AGUGUGGAAGAGCCGCUGCACCAUGAUGUGCUCCCCUUACAGAUGGAGACACUGAGAGGGUGACGUGGCCCCAGGGACCUUUGGAGUCCUUGGGGCUUUUCUCCUCUGCAUCGGCUCUGACCCCAGCACACACAAGCUCCAGCUCCUUCUCACACAUAGUGGAACUGCACAGUCGCUGGUCCCCGCCUCCUCCCGGUGUGUUGGUCCCCGCGCCCUGCCUUCCCCCU
rnacentral:lncRNA from 1 species